CUUUCUCUUGAGGGUACAAUAUAAUCUAAUUUUCUUUAUUAUUCAAUUUGGAUCCUGUUAAGUGAGACAGACAUUCACUGAUAAGAAGGAGCAUUUAAAUUUUGGCAAAUAAGUUCAUUUGUAUUCUGAAAGCUCUGCACCCCUCGUAUUUAAUAAACUUUCCAUUACAGAACAUCACUU
ensembl:misc_RNA